UUGUUCUGUACAGGCCGGUGUGUUGUCUUCCUGUGGCGGAGGGUCCACAGGAUGAAUAGCCAAGCAGGCAGCGAUGUGGAACCGGAGGACAGGCCUUGCAGGGCCUGUGCUGCUGUACCGCAGCCUUCAGACUGAGGCUACAGAUCUGCCCUGGGGCCAACCUACCAGAGAGAUUCCUGGGAUUAUUUUUCCAGCUCUUCACCUGGACAACAUGGGAGGAUACGGGUAGAAUAUGAUGAAGUUGUCCCUAACCACCCUCAACCUCCAGUUGAGAUUCCAGAGGGGACAGACCUCCUGACCUGGCCGGUGCUCUCUCUCUCCAGAGGUGUCAGCAAUAUCAAGCUCACUUAAAUGUGAAAGUAGGGCGAUCCACAGGUGAUAUUGGGCAAACCGGCCACUAAUUACACACACCAGGGCUAUUCAGGCUAAGUAGUGGCAGCUGGGAGGCGCCGGUUCCACAUGCUUGGUUCUCCUGUUCGUGGGUACACGUACUUCUACGCCACUGGCUUUUUCCCGUGACUCGCCCUUGGAGGCUCCUUCUCUCUUUGGCACCGGUGUCUCCCCAUUGUGUGGUUGGCCCAGCUGUGUUCUGGCGUGACCACUAGUUAAGUUGUUUAAUGUGUGGUGUUUUUACAUGAUGUGCUUCCUCCCUCGCCACCAUCACUUUUUGUUAAUUCCUUCCUGGAUUAAAGACUGUAAAUUGCAAGUUGGCC